AAAGGAUAAAAAUAAACUUAAUAAAAACCAUGAUAAUGACAAUUAUUAGUACAUUCCCUCUCAAGCGGAAACAUUUUCCAUCACGAUUCGUAUUGUCGUCCAUCUUAAUGUGACACAUUUUUCUAAAUCAUUUGUCAAGAAGACUUUCAAUAAAGGAUCAUAUUGUGCUCAUACGAGUCAAUCAUCAAGACUAACCAUCAUC
rnacentral:lncRNA from 1 species